GCUGCAGCAACUGAGUAUACUGGGCCCAGCCAGAUUCUCUGGGUGCUUUCUUCUUUCUUAGUUCCCCCUUUAUUGUGGGCCCUCCUCAGUGCCAACAUUGCUUUGUCUCUCGCUGGAGAAGCCUGUGAGAACGAGGAUGGGCAAAGUGUCAGGCUCUUGGUGCAGCUGAAAAUCCUUUGAGAUGGAAGAAAUGGCUGGAACAAAGGGGCAGAGGAACAAAAAGCCCUGAACUGCUUCGCCCCUGCCUCGUGGGGUCUUUAUCAUCUUAAACCUUGGGAUUUGAACAUCUGUCCAGUCCCUGGGAUGGUGAGGCUAUAACCACAAAGGAAUAAGAGAAGACGACUAGUUUUGUAAUGGGGACAUUGGCUGCUGUCUUCUGACCCACCCUGUGUGGCUUUGGCGUCUCCUGUGACCUCCCAGUAUGGGUCUUGGCCUCAUCCUGCCUCUUUGUCUUUCUGGCCCACCACCCACAGCUUGAAUCUCAGGCUCCAACAGUUGCCUGACCCCCAGAUUCUGAUGACAGCCUACCUACUUGUUCUUCAGGCCCUCACCAGACUCACUGCCCAGACACACCACACAGGAGAACAUGAAAGGGUGAAUGAAUCUUUCAUCAUUUGAUGACCAAGUUGGCAUUCUUUUACAUUCCAGCCACCAGAGGAAGGUGUAUUUUAACACAAUUGCCCUCACAUCCUCCUUAACAGGAUUUACAUAAGUUUAUUAACACAUAUGUUUCUACAAAAUCAAGUUUUGAGAACCAUUUUUAUACACUGAUCUGGGACAUUUUGGGGAUAUGAAAUUAACUUUAGCACACACAGCAAGAAGAAAACCGAACAACAAAUUCUACAAACACCAAAUUUGCUGUGAAAUUUACAUUUCAGAAUCUCUCAAGAAAUAGUGCCCAGCAGCAAUUCUUACUGUUUUCACUUUUUCCCCCGUCUUCACAUUUUUAUGUUUGACAGUGCCAACAUAUUUUCUCAACAUUUAUUCUGAAAGGAAUGUACUUUGUGAAUUCCUUAAAUGCAGGAUGAUUC
rnacentral:lncRNA from 1 species